rnacentral:misc_RNA from 1 species
GAUGAAGAACGAAGCGAAAUGCGAUAAGUAAUGUGAAUUGCAGAAUUCAGUGAAUCAUCGAAUCUUUGAACGCACAUUGCGCCCCCUGGUAUUCCGGGGGGCAUGCCUGUUCGAGCGUCAUUUCACCACUCAAGCCUCGCUUGGUAUUGGGCAACGCGGUCCGCCGCGUGCCUCAAAUCGACCGGCUGGGUCUUCUGUCCCCUAAGCGUUGUGGAAACUAUUCGCUAAAGGGUGUUCGGGAGGCUACGCCGUAAAACAACCCCAUUUCUAAGGUUGACCUCGGAUCAGGAAGGGAUACCCGCUGAACUUAAGCAUAUCAAUAAGCGGAGGA